rnacentral:lncRNA from 1 species
CCCAUUUGAAUUCACGAGAAACAACUUCUCAUGAAUUUUCUCCCAUGUAGAAGCCUUCACACGCCCUCCCUUGUGUGCCAUUUAUCUGGAUAAAGAUUGGUUUGUUGGCCAUUCAAAUUCAAAGGAUGUUUGAAUUUGAAUGGGCAACUAAUCCAUGCGCCACCCACCUUAUCUUGUGCGCCAUUUAAUCUACAUGAGAAAGAGUUUCUCAUAUAAAUUCUCCAUGCACAAAGAACCCAUGCCUCCUCUCUUCUCUCACCCAGAGUGGAUAAGGAUGGGUUGGUUUGUAUUUGAAUUCAAAUUCGAUUUGAAUUCAAGUGAGCAACCACCAUCUUUAUCCUCUCACACGGAUAAGACGCAUCUUGCACUGUUUUAAAAGAGAAGAGAAGGUGGGGCGUGCGUAGAAUUUUUCUGAGAGAGAAUAGUGGGCGU